AUUGAACGCUGGCGGCAUGCCUUACACAUGCAAGUCGAACGGCAGCACGGGAGCAAUCCUGGUGGCGAGUGGCGAACGGGUGAGUAAUGUAUCGGAACGUGCCCAGUCGUGGGGGAUAACGCAGCGAAAGCUGUGCUAAUACCGCAUACGAUCUAAGGAUGAAAGCGGGGGAUCGCAAGACCUCGCGCGAUUGGAGUGGCCGAUAUCAGAUUAGCUAGUGGGUGGGGUAAAGGCUCACCAAGGCGACGAUCUGUAGCUGGUCUGAGAGGACGACCAGCCACACUGGAACUGAGACACGGUCCAGACUCCUACGGGAGGCAGCAGUGGGGAAUUUUGGACAAUGGGCGCAAGCCUGAUCCAGCAAUGCCGCGUGCAGGAUGAAGGCCUUCGGGUUGUAAACUGCUUUUGUACGGAGCGAAAAGGCUCUCUCUAAUACGGGGGGCUCAUGACGGUACCGUAAGAAUAAGCACCGGCUAACUACGUGCCAGCCGCCGCCGUAA
rnacentral:rRNA from 1 species